rnacentral:rRNA from 1 species
AACGAACGUUAGCGGCGCGCUUAACACAUGCAAGUCGAACGAGAAAGCACCUUCGGGUGUGAGUAAAGUGGCGCACGGGUGAGUAACACGUAGGUUAUCUACCUUUUGGUGGGGGACAACAUCCCGAAAGGGGUGCUAAUACCGCAUAAGUCCACCUCGGUGGGGAAAGGCGGCUUCGGCUGUCGCCAGAAGAUGAGCCUGCGGCCCAUCAGCUUGUUGGUGGGGUAAUGGCCUACCAAGGCUUCGACGGGUAGCUGGUCUGAGAGGAUGAUCAGUCACACUGGAACUGAGACACGGUCCAG